AACGAACGCUGGCGGCAUGCCUAACACAUGCAAGUCGAACGAGACCUUCGGGUCUAGUGGCGCACGGGUGCGUAACGCGUGGGAACCUGCCCUUAGGUUCGGAAUAACUCCCCGAAAGGGGUGCUAAUACCGGAUAAUGUCUUCGGACCAAAGAUUUAUCGCCUUUGGAUGGGCCCGCGUUGGAUUAGCUAGUUGGUAGGGUAAAAGCCUACCAACGCGACGAUCCAUAGCUGGUCUGAGAGGAUGAUCAGCCACACUGGGACUGAGACACGGCCCAGACUCCUACGGGAGGCAGCAGUGGGGAAUAUUGGACAAUGGGCGAAAGCCUGAUCCAGCAAUGCCGCGUGAGUGAUGAAGGCCUUAGGGUUGUAAAGCUCUUUUACCCGGGAUGAUAAUGACAGUACCGGGAGAAUAAGCUCCGGCUAACUCCGUG
rnacentral:rRNA from 1 species